CCCCCCCCUUAAAGGAGUUAGAUGCACUAUUGUAAAGUGGUUGUUCCACUGGAUAUCAUAAGGUGAAUGCACCAAUUUGUAAGUCGCUCUGGAUAAGAGCGUCUGCUAAAUGACUUAAAUGUAAAUGUAAUGUAAAUGUUGUUCCAACCCGUCUGUUGGCCUAUCACAGUAGAGGCUGAGCGUGGUUUAAACUUUGCUCAGCCUAUCGCCGGCGCUCAGGCUAGUCCCAGUCUCUUGGCGCUCCUUGGUGUCCGGCGCUGUUGCUGUGUAGAUUACGCUCCCACACCCUAGAGACUGGGGCCAGACAGUUCUGUAACAUUGUCUGAGCUAUUUGCACCUGCAUAGAAAGCAUACUGUUCUCGCUCAAGAUUAACCACAGCUUCUCAGCACACUAUCUGGGGCACAAUGUUACUUUCAGCACACACACACAGACGCCCAGGCUAACAUUUGCUAAUAUUAUAUCACAUGUGAUAGUGCAAUAAACACAAAUCCUAACACUAACACCAACAUAAAAGGGGUUGUUGUUGCUGUAGAACUUUUCACAGAUCUAGGAGCAGUUGACCGCCACAGAAUGUGAACAUUAGCCACUGAUAUCUGACAUCAGUAUAGUUUAUAAAAGUGUAUCUGUCUGUGUCUUUCGGUUUCUGUUUAGACUACAUCAAAGAUAGAGAAGCUGUGCAGUCACACCAUGUUCAAUCAUGUUACCUAAUUAGCUAGCUAGCUGACAAUCUGGUUGACCUGUAGCAUAUAAACAUUUGUUGGCACAGAAACAAAGGGGAUAUAAAAAAUGAUUGCUCAAAUUCCCCCCGCCACUAUCUGACUGGGUUAAUUACUUAAUAUUAAGUUAAUAUGGACCCAUUGUCUUAGACUUGAAAUCUUGGACCGGGAUUCAAACACAGGCACUCUUAUUUCAGCCAUAGGGACUUGUAACUCGACUCGACUCAAACAUGGGUGACUUUGACUCAACUCAGAGUUAGCCAUAGGGUCUUGUGAAUUGACUCGGACUUGUGCUUUAGUGACUCAACUACAACACUGCUGCCAUUACAUGGCUACUACUACUGCUACAACUAACAAUUCUAGCAAGGGGUACCCCAGCUUGGAUACACUUUUCUGCGGCUCCCUCAAAAGCAAUAAGCAGACAUUUUGAUUAUACCUCCCAACUCAACUCCCUGUUGGGGAGUCUAUCUACAAAUAAACGCAGCAAGAGGAUUACAACAGCUAACACGGGAAGCUGAAACCCUGGGAUCCGCCUUAUGUUCCCUCAGUUCUACCCCAUUUUGAAAAGGUGCUUUUCAUCCAUGACCAGGCCAUGUUUUGGCAGUUUUGCUGCACUAGGCAAGACAAUUGCAGACAUUCUCCAAUCCGGCAAAGAAAUAGGCCUAUAGUGUACAGUGUCGGCCUAUAAUGUAAUUUUAUAACUAGGCCUACCAUAAGAUAGCCUCCCAUUUGUAAAACAUGCAGUUGCAUUGGCUUUAUUAACCUAGUCCCGAUUCCUGACAAAAGCUUAUAGGGACUUGUCCUUUAAGAUAUGAACAUCAGUUUCCCAAGUUUAUUAUGAGUUUUCUUGAGGCUUUUUGCAAAGAGAUCAAUGCUGAUGUAAAGGCCUAUGUCUUCACAGCAGUACAAACCUGAAACCACUUAUUAUCAGUACAUUGUAUUCCACCUUGUGAAACCAGGGGUCUAGUGGAGGGUAAAUGCAAAUAGGAUUAAAAAAUGGCCUGUUAUGAGAGAGAAACAGAUUGUGAGAGUAGCUGAGUGCCAAUAGAGAUGAGAUGGCUGUUAAUAUCACUAGGCUGUUUGGUCUGUGUGCAGGUAGUGAACCUGAUUGCUGAGGGGUUAGGUUGCUAGUUAGAAUCUUAACCUGCCAUUAGCUACUUUUGUGUCAGCAAGUCUACAGACCAUUCAAGUAGCUGCACUUAACACCUCACUGAUACUGAUUGUGUAAACUACAAACCCAAAUUGUCUAAGGAAAUGUAGGUGACAGUAAUAAUAUUGCACACAUAUUCAGAAAUCUGGGCUGAUCAUUGUCUACUUGCCAUAAUUUCCGCUGGAGAAGCUGUCCCUCCCCCACUGCAGUGUGCACAAAAGUACCAAACCACCAAAACUUUCACAGGUCAACACAGUUCCCCUUCCCCCACGCUGCAGUGACAAAUCUCUCCCCAGGGUUGCCAUGUACAUUGUGUUGUCUUUUAUUGAGGUACUUUUAAAACUUUGCUGCGGGAAAAAAGUGUUGGUUGCUGCGUGCAAAUAUUUAUACUACUUCUAUAUUGCACCGUUAUCAACAUGGUAUUUUUUUAAAACCCAUUAAUUUCCCUGUAAUCUGCUGAGAUUGUAACAGUUUUCAGGCUUUGAAGGCGGGUUUUUACUGGAAUUACUAGAAAUGUGAAAUUGAUCUGGCAAGCCUGUCUCUGCCUGAGCAUGAUCACAACAAAAGUAGCUGUGCAGCAAGUUUUUUAAGGAAGAGGAGGAUGGUUGUAGACGUUCGCAUUCAUGCAAGAAGGUAAGCUAUUAACUAAACUGUUAACCAAUAUUUUAACUAAAAUUGUAUGUGGUGUAUUGGCAAGCAAUGCAUGUUCCCAUUGUCUUUAUUUGUAAUUUCUGUUAGCUCAUGUAUAUCUUUCGGCUGAAUCCAACAUGCAUUGACAAUGUCUGAAAGCCAUAUUGUGUCAGAUAUACUGCGUCAUGAGAUUGAAAUUGGUGGGCUCAUCCAAACAAUUCAUUAAUGUGCAAUUGUUACUUUAUACUUAUUUACUGCUUGCUAAUGAUUAGCGUGCUAGCUAGCGGUUAGCGUGCUAGUUUAGCAUAAUUGGUAAAAAUGUCUUGUGGUUAACCCAAUGUUACAUGCAUUGGAAAAUAAUAUUGCUAGUGUAACUUGAAUUGGUUUACAAGCUAGCUAGAAAAGCCAGUUCCUUUUCAUCUGUUUUGUCAAGUCAUAAGCAUGCAAACGUGCUGAAAUAUUUAAAUAAAUCCCCUCAUUUAAGUUUUGGCUGUUUUUUUAUCGCCAUUACCCAAAGAGAAAUAAGUUGCUAGUUAUUUUGGCUUUGCAUUUUAAAGAGUGAAACACCACAACAAGAAUAAAGAUUGUGGAAAGUGUCAAAUUUGGUAGGACUGUGCCAAUUCACAUGCCUUGCUUUAGCCAUAUCACUCAUACUGUUUCUUGUUUUGUUCAUCCAUAAAAGCAGAUCAGCCUUAGUUGCAUCCAGGAACUUGCAUAAUGUGCUUAUGUUAUGCGCUUAUACUUGCUUUUUUACUUUGAAAGUCGUCUUAAAAAAGGAAAUUGUAAUAGAUGUUUGUAGGACCUCUGUCAGUCAAUGAUAACAGUCAUUGGUGUCCACCAGCCCAUCCCCUUUGUUGUGUGCUGAGCAAUCUUGUUAUUCUUUUAAGUCUCAACCAUUCUUUUAGAAACUUGUCUUCCUUUACAAAGGCACUGCAGAGGCUAAGAAGAUGCAUGGAAACUCUAAAAGAAACAUAAUUCAACAUGUAGGCCAGAUUUGAAAAGGAAAUAAUAAAUCCCGAAGCUCAGUGUAAUGGCUCUCGUCGGUGGAAGGAGAGGAGGACCAAAGCGCAGCGUGAUGUCAGACACCGAGGCUGCCUGCACCGCCGUUGAUCAGAACAGACAGCGUAUACUUGACCAAAGCUAUGCUUGGAUACAGGACUGAUGACUCAAUAACCAGUAUUGACAACAGUG